rnacentral:rRNA from 1 species
CCUACGGGAGGCAGCAGUGAGGAAUAUUGGUCAAUGGACGCAAGUCUGAACCAGCCAUGCCGCGUGCAGGAUGACGGCUCUAUGAGUUGUAAACUGCUUUUGUACGAGGGUAAACCCCGAUACGUGUAUCGGGUUGAAAGUUACGUACGAAUAAGGAUCGGGCAACCCCGGGCCAGCAGCCGCGGUAAUUCGGAGGAUCCGGGCGUUAACCGGGUUUAUUGGGGUUAAAGGGUGCGUAGGCGGUUUGAUAAGUUAGGGGUGAAAUGUCGGGGCUUAACCCCGAAACGGCCCCUAAAACUGUUGGACUAGAGAAUAGUUGCGGUAGGCGGAAUGUAUGGUGUAGCGGUGAAAUGCUUAGAGAUCAUACAGAACCCCGAUUGCGAAGGCAGCAUACCAAACUAUAUCUGACGUUGAGGCACGAAAGCGUGGGUAGCAAACAGGAUUAGAUACCCCAGUAGUC